rnacentral:rRNA from 1 species
GACAGAGGAUGCAAGCGUUGUUCGGAUUCACUGGGCGUAAAGGGUGCGUAGGCGGUCGGGUAAGUCUGAUGUGAAAUCUCACAGCUUAACUGUGAAACUGCAUUGGAUACUAUUCGGCUUGAGAGUUGGAGGGGGGACUGGAAUUCUUGGUGUAGCAGUGAAAUGCGUAGAUAUCAAGAGGAACACCAGUGGCGAAGGCGAGUCCCUGGACAACUUCUGACGCUGAGGCACGAAAGCUAGGGGAGCAAACAGG